AAUAUAUAAUGAAAUAAUUUUACAACUCACCAUAAUGUAGAAUCAGUGGGAGCAGUGAGCUUGUUUUCCUGCAACUAGACGGUCCCAUCUGGGCACUGCUCACCUCCUGCUGUGUGGCCCAGUUCCUAACAAACUAUGGACCAAUACGGGUCUGUGGCCCAGAGGUUGGGGAUCCCUGUCCUAGGGAACUGACUGCCUAGAGUCAGGAGAGAAGUGGGCUUGCAGGAAACCUUGCCUUCAAGAGGAGGACAGAGAACAGUCCAAGUAGGAGCAGGAGAGAGGCGUGUGCUCUCGGAGGGAGGGGUAUCAAGGAAGCCAAGGAGGAAAUCGAGGAAGAGAGAGAGACAGAGACAGAGAGAUAAAGCAAGUGGUAAGAUAUUAAUUGUCCGUUAUUCUAAGGUGUUCAUGAUUCUCUUCUUUCAAAUUUUGUGUAUGUUUGAAACUUUUCAUCAUAAAAAGUCAGAAAGAAUAAGGAGAUCAUGCCCUCAUUGGGGAAAGGUUGUAAACGUAGUCAGUUUCGAAGACUGGGCUUGAGUAGAGUCCACACCAGAAGGCAAGAAGGACUGUGUUAUGCUGGAUCCAUGACAUCAAGAUCUUUCAUCUCAGCCAGAAGCCCCUCGUGGCAUCAUUAUAAUGAAGGCCUGCGGGGCAGCGCUUUCUUGCCAGCCUUACUGUGCUCCAUUUCUUUAACGGCCUUUU
rnacentral:lncRNA from 1 species